rnacentral:piRNA from 1 species
UNGAAGUCAAAGCUUGGUUCCUGGCCACCU